UUUGCUUUCAUUUUAUAGCAUAUUUAAAAUGUUUUUUUUAAAAAGAUGUUUGCCUGAUUAAGAGGAAAAAAAGCUAUCAAUUUGCAUUUCAACCAUCUGGAAAGCUUGAAACUCUCCCUCCAGUCCUUCACUCCUUUUCAUUUCCUUCAGUGUCUUGCAGGUUUCCUGUGCUACAAAAAGAAAGAAUUGCAUUUAUGUAGCAACCUUGACAAUCACCACAGAUCAGCAAGCACUUUAAAGCCAACGGGAAACCUUUUUUGAGUGUAGUCGCUGUUGUAAUGUCGAGAAUGUGGGAGUUAAUUUCUGCACAACAAGCUCCCACAGACAGAUUAUGAACAUAUAGUUAAUCUCAGUGACAUUUAUUGAAGGGUGAUUAAGGCCCAGAACACCAAGGAGAACAUGCUUUCCUUCAAAAUAGCACUAUGGGAUGUUUAACAUCCUCCCUGACAGUGGACCAGUUUAAUGCCUUGUCUGAAACUGUACCUGCAACAGUGAAGCACUCCACCUUGACCUCGCUGGGAUUGUCAGCCAAGAUAUUGUACUCAAAGUCUAGGAACCAGGACUUGAACCCACAAUGUUCCUGACUCAGCAGCCAAUUUAACUGAGUCCCUGCUGACACUCUGAGUGAGUGCCGCCCCACAUCUCUCAUCAGCUGACCAGCUCUCAGUGUGGCCAGAGGACUAAAUCAAGUUAGGAUGCAUCUUAUACAAAGUCAGCGAUUAAUCCUGAAUCGGAAGGUCAAGACACUUUAACAUCAGCAAUGUAGGAUGACUUGCAAGUCGGAUAUAAACCUCGAUUUAACAUCUGCAUCUUGUGGUGGCCUCCUGGACUCCAUAAUAAGCUCUCUGAGUAUAAAGAAGUUGAGAGAUGACUAAGUACACAAUGACCAACUCUUAUUAGGAGGGAGGCAGAUGGAUUUCAAACAUCUGCUUAUACCCCUUCAGUCUGGCUGCAUUUGUAAAUAUAAAUGACUUGAGCUUCAUUGUUCUAACAGCAGAUGACACCCAUUCUUUUCAACGCCCUGUCACCCGCAGCCAGCUCUCUGUUUAAAAGUGAAAACCUGGACCCGGAUCCCUCGUUAUUCACAAUGGGAAUUGAGUUCCCGUUGGCCUUCGGUAACAAAUUGGUUAUAUGUUCAAAUCCCGUUCCAGACACUUCGUGUGUAAUUGAGACUGACAUUCAGCUCCAGUACUGAGGGAGUGCUGAACUGCCAAAGUGGUAUCUUUUGGAUGAGACAUUAAACCAAGUGCUUACCCAUUCUCUCAGGCGGAUGUAAAAACUCCUGUGAUAUUAUUUCAUAGAAGAAAAAAAGAUCUCCCCUGGUAUCUUGGUUAACAUAUACUGCCACCCCCCACUCAUUUUAUCUGGUCAUUCAUUUCAAUGCUAUUUUGUGGGAGCUUGCUGUGUGUAAAUUGG